rnacentral:rRNA from 1 species
GACGAACGCUGGCGGCGUGCUUAACACAUGCAAGUCGAACGGAAAGGCCCUGCUUUUGUGGGGUGCUCGAGUGGCGAACGGGUGAGUAACACGUGAGUAACCUGCUCUUGACUUUGGGAUAACUUCAGGAAACUGGGGCUAAUACCGGAUAGGAGCUCCUGCUGCAUGGUGGGGGUUGGAAAGUUUGGGGGGUUGGGGAUGGACUCGCGGCUUGUAAGCUUGUUGGUGGGGUAGUGGCUUACCAAGGCUUGGACGGGUAGCCGGCCGGAGUGGGUGACCGGCAAAAUGGGGACUGAGAUAGGGCCAGGACUCCUAGGGGAGGCAGAAGUGGGGAAUAUUGCACAAUGGGCGGAAGCCUGAUGCAGCAACGCCGCGUGCGGGAUGACGGCCUUCGGGUUGUAAACCGCUUUGGCCUGGGACGAAGCGUGAGUGACGGUAAUGGGUAAAGAAGCACCGGCUAACUACGUG